UACGUAGGGUGCGAGCGUUAAUCGGAAUUACUGGGCGUAAAGUGUGCGCAGGCGGCAAAGCAAGUCGAGUGUGAAAGCCCCGGGCUUAACUUGGGAACCGCGCUUGAGACUGGCACGCUAGAGUUCGGGAGAGGAUGGUGGAAUUCCCAGUGUAGAGGUGAAAUUCGUAGAUAUUGGGAAGAACACCGAUGGCGAAGGCAGCCAUCUGGACCGACACUGACGCUGAGGCGCGAAAGCGUGGGGAGCAAACAGG
rnacentral:rRNA from 1 species